UGUUUCAUAGAUAUAUUCAUCCACAUCUCAUCUUUUGCUCUGCUAGAGUUUUCUUCUUGGUUGGGGCGGCUCUCUCCAUGCACUCGAUCUAUCCACUUCCACCUCCAUUUCUUUUCAGGGAAGUUUCCUUCACUCUCAUGUACUCUAAUUUUGGCUUUCUCAAUUUUUAUGCUUCUCAUUUGGGUUUUUUUUUUAUGUUUUACAAUUUUUAUCAGUUUCAUCUGAUUCUUUCUUUUGUUUGCUUUUCAUGUUUUCAAUUUUGUGUCUUGGUUGAUUUUUUAUGGCUAAUCAACCCCUGAGUGUUCUGAUUUCUUAGAGUCAAAGAAGUCCUCUAAAUCUUUUAAGGAUGAUUUAGCUUCAAGCUCUUCAUCGUAAGUUCUCAAUCAGACGUCCUUCCUUGGACAAUAUCCAGAAUUUCAAAUUUUCACUUAAGUUGUCUGAGGAAUUCUCUAUGACCAUGCUUGAUACUAGGCUUGUGCUUAUAAAAUUAUUUAAUGAUUUGGAUUACAAUGGUAUCUUUACCAGGAAUGUUUACAAUGUUUUUAACUGUUAUAUGAAACUCAUUAAAUGAUAUUCGAUUAUUGACA